rnacentral:rRNA from 1 species
UACGUAGGGGGCAAGCGUUGUCCGGAAUUAUUGGGCGUAAAGAGCGCGUAGGCGGUCCGAUAGUCGGCUGUGAAAGUCAGGGGCUCAACCCUUGAAUGCCGGUCGAUACUGCCGGACUAGAGUCCGGAAGAGGCAAGUGGAAUUCCCGGGUGUAGCGGUGAAAUGCGCAGAUAUCGGGAGGAACACCAAAUGGCGAAGGCG